rnacentral:rRNA from 1 species
AUGGCCGCCACCUCCCAUUCCCUCCUCUCUCCGGCGCCCACCUCGCUCCCCCGCGCCCGCCUCGCCUUCCCCGCCGUCCGCGCCGUCGCCCCCCGCCGUCGCCCCUAUUUCCCGGCCGUCGCGGCGGCGGCCUCCUCGAUGGCGUCCUCGGAUGCCGACGAGAAGAAGGAGACCAAGCUGUGGGGCGGCCGCUUCGAGGAGGGCGUCACCGACGCCGUGGAGCGCUUCACCGAGUCAAUCUCCUACGACUGGCAGCUCUACAAGUACGACAUCAUGGGCAGCAAGGCCCACGCGUCCAUGCUCGCCGCGCAGGGUCUGAUAACCACCGGUGAUAGGGAUAUUAUCUUGGAGGGCCUUGAUCAAAUUGAGAAGCAGAUUCAAGAUGGCAAGUUUGAGUGGAGAAAGGAUAGGGAGGAUGUGCACAUGAACAUUGAGGCAGCUCUGAUUGAGAAAGUUGGUGAGCCGGCCAAGAAGUUACACACUGCUAGGAGCCGCAAUGACCAAAUUGUGACGGAUCUUAGGUUGUGGUGCCGCGAUGCUAUUGACAAGAUUUUGAUUCGCAUCAAACAGUUUCAGGUGUCUCUGGUUUUGUUAGCUUCAAAAUAUGUUGACUUAAUUGUCCCCGGUUAUACCCAUCUUCAAAGGGCACAGCCUGUUUUGUUGCCACAUCUUCUCUUAUCCUAUGUCGAACAGUUGGAGCGUGAUGCUGGCCGGCUGAUCGACUGCAGGGAAAGAGUGAAUUUCUGUCCUCUUGGUGCUUGUGCUUUGGCUGGAACUGGACUCCCCAUUGAUAGGUUCAAAACUGCUAAAGAUUUGAAGUUUACAGCUCCGAUGAAGAACAGCAUUGAUGCAGUGUCAGAUCGUGACUUUGUUUUGGAGUUUCUUGCUGCCAACUCUAUUGCUGCUAUUCAUCUUUCCCGCAUUGGCGAAGAGUGGGUCUUGUGGGCAUCAGAGGAGUUCGGGUUCUUGACACCAAGUGACUCGGUGUCAACUGGAAGCAGCAUUAUGCCACAGAAGAAAAAUCCAGAUCCGAUGGAGCUUGUUCGUGGAAAAUCUGCUAGGGUUGUUGGUGAUCUCAUGACUGUCCUGGUCCUCUGCAAAGGCCUUCCACAGGCCUACAACCGUGACCUACAGGAAGACAAGGAACCCUUGUUUGACAGUGUGAAGGCCAUACUAGGAAUGCUUGAAGUAUGCAGUGAGUUUGCUCAAAAUAUCUCUUUUAACUCAAAAAGAAUACAAAGUUCGCUGCCUGCUGGUUAUCUGGAUGCAACAACACUGGCAGAUUAUCUUGUGAAGAAGGGCGUUCCAUUCAGAACUUCUCACGAGAUAGUUGGAAGGUGUGUGGCUCUAUGCGUGUCGAAGAACUGUCAGCUGACAGAGCUUGAAAUGGACGACUUGAAAGCGGUUCACCCUGUCUUCGAGGCCGAUGUGUACGCCUAUUUGGGUGUGGAAAACGCCGUCAACAAGUUCAUAUCUUACGGCUCUACGGGUUCAGAACAAGUAAAAAAACAGCUUGAAGAUUGGCGCGUUCAGCUUGGGAUCAACCCAUAA